CGCGUAGGCGGAUGUUCUUGUCAGAGGUGAAAGCCCCGGGCUCAACCUGGGAAUUGCCUUUGAAACGGGACGUCUGGAGUUCGGAAGAGGGUAGCGGAAUUCCCAGUGUAGAGGUGAAAUUCGUAGAUAUUGGGAAGAACACCAGUAGCGAAGGCGGCUACCUGGUCCGACACUGACGCUGAGGCGCGAAAGCGUGGGGAGCAAACA
rnacentral:rRNA from 1 species